UGGCCCCUUGGUCAAGUGGUUAAGACAUCGCCCUUUCACGGCGGUAUCACGGGUUCGAAUCCCGUAGGGGUCAUC
rnacentral:tRNA from 1 species